rnacentral:rRNA from 1 species
CGGGGUGAGUAAUGUAUGGGGAUCUGCCUGAUGGCGGGGGAUAACUACUGGAAACGGUAGCUAAUACCGCAUAAUGUCUACGGACCAAAGCGGGGGACCUCCGGGCCUCGCGCCAUCAGAUGAACCCAUAUGGGAUUAGCUAGUAGGUGGGGUAAUGGCUCACCUAGGCGACGAUCCCUAGCUGGUCUGAGAGGAUGACCAGCCACACUGGAACUGAGACACGGUCCAG